rnacentral:lncRNA from 8 species
CCCCUACAUAAAUAUGAUCUCCAAUUAGAGACAAUGAGAACCGGCUGCCUCUAAUUGGAGAUCAUCCCAACAACCCCAACAUAGAAAUAGAAACCUAGAAAAACAACAUAGAAACAGAUAACAAGAAAACCACCCCAAAACACCCCUUGUCACGCCCUGACCUACUCUACUAUAGAAAAUGACAUCUUACAAGUGUCAGGACGUGACAUGUACAGAUGUUCUUGGGUGGAGGCUCCCUAUCUCACAAGUGCAAGGGCGCUCAGCUGCCGUACCACCUCUGUUGCUGUAUCUGCAUUUGUCAGGUCACUGGAUUUACUUAGCUUCAUCUCUCCAGGUGCCACAGUGACCUCUGACCUAUGGCCCUGAUGACAGUGGUGACCCUGACUGGCGAGUGGGUGAUGUCAUAAUGGAGAGACCUGCAGGGAUACUGCAUGUGCAGGCUCAGAACAACAUCAAGAGCUCCAGACCACAGGUAAAACUGCUCAUACACAGGUAGGUAGGUUGGAGCCUCUCAGGGAAGUAGGCUACCACACUAAUAGAGAAUAGGUUUAUACUCACUUCAAAUGACUAUUUCAAAUUGGGUUCUGUUCAAAUGGUUUCUCCCUGUCGUCCAUCACAGGCCUAAAUCAGUCUUUGGGCUGACCAGAGGUGUAGCUCUUCUUCAGGAGUUAGUCUGUCAAAACCAGCAGAGGCAUCUUCUUCUGGACUCUGAGGUCUACCAGAGAAUCCAGGGCAGGAGAGAAACACCCACAGACCAUCGCCAGUCCAACACCUUCCACCUGAUACAGGAGGUGCUGGAGGAAGACUGUAGAAGUGAGUAUUUCCAUGUUACAAUUUCUAGAAAACUUAUUUGACCCUUUUGGACAUACUGAGAGCCAGGUUAUCUUUAAGAACAGAUAUAUGGAGGAGCGAUGUCAGAGCGGAACAGACUAAGAUACAGUAGAAUAGUAUAGAAUACAGUAUAUACAUAUGAGAUGAGUAAGGCAAGAUAUGUAAACAUUAUUAAGUGACUAAGAUACCGUAGAAGUAUAGAAAACAGUAUAUACAUAUGAGAUAAGUAAUGCCAGAUAUGUAAACAUUAUUAAAGUGGCCAGUGAUUUCUAGUCUAUGCCUACAGGCAGCAGCCUCUAAUGUGCUAGUCAUGGCUGUUUAACAGUCUGAUGGCCUUGAGAUAGAAGCUGUUUUUCAGUCUCUCUGUCCCAGCUGUGAUGCACCUGUCCUGCCUAUGCCUCUGGAUGAUAGCGGGGUGAACAGGCAGUGACCUAUGUGUGUGUGAUAGCGUGGUGAACAGGCAGUGGCCUAUGUGUGUGUUCAGAUGCGCCCCUGCAUACCCAAGAAAAUCCUUAGGCACGGCCGCCCAGCAACCCCUCCUGUUGAGAGUGCAGAUGUCCCGCACAUGUCAAAGCUGUGGAACUCUCAAUGUGUAAUAAUAUGAUUCUGCUAUUGGUCUCCAGUAAAAUAUUUACUUUCUUCUCAGGGUGUGCCAUGAUAUAGUCGGCAAUUAUUGUGUCACAAGUAUUUUUUUUAAACAACUUGUUGAGCUUUUCCAGUGGAUGCUUUCACACAGAGUUAAUAGUCAGCGUACAAACUGUCCAAAGUCAAUGUAACAUUGCAUACUGUACUGUAUCAUUCUGAGAUCCAUGCAGCUGGGUAAAUGUUUGAUCCUCUGUGCCAUUGACUGUGAUGGUAAUGGAGUUCCUUUCUCUGCAACACUCAAGCCGUCAAGAUCAGAGAGGGGCAUCACAGGACUGGAUAAGCCUUACCAAGACCCAGAUCCUUCUCUCAGAGCUACAACACAGCAGCUAUGGUUCUAACCUUAUGAGAAAUCUAACAUACUACCACCACCAUCUCCCCACAGAAUAGACACAUUUUACAAUGAAAACUCAUAGGCUACUUGUUGUCAGACCAAACCCAGGACACAUGAUGUGCUUUACUUGUGCUUGAGAGGGGACAACCUUGUCAAAUGGAUUUAUUGGUGUAUUAUAUUUGUGUGCAGUAGGGGGCAACCUCUACACAUUUGCUGCCUGAGUUAGUUUACUCAGUGUGUAUGUAAGAUAUUAUUAUGAUAAAACUACAUUUUUAAUUAUGUGUAACCAUACUAUGCAUUUAUUGUAAAUAUUGGGCUGUUAUAUCACAUUGUUAUGUAAGUGGUGAUGAGUUGAAAUAGAAUGAUCUGAGUAGAAAUCAUGCUGUUAUUAUGUAAAUCAACAUUAAAGUGAUCACUCCUUUGAAUAAGAGGUGAGACAUUUGCAUGAGAGAUAUAAGAAAGCCCUGAAGGUAUAUGUGGAAGAUGGACAUUCAACAUUCAGCAGGGGGCAGAAAUCCAGAAUGAUUAUAAACCACCUCUUUCAAUACAGAAUGCCUCUAGAAUCAAUCUUAACUGGCAAUUGGGUUUCCAGGAUAACACUGAGAAGAUAUUUAUUGUACUGUGAGAUAGCUUUAGAACUCAAACCAUGAUUGGAAGUUUAGUUUUUUCCCCAAAGAGGCAAUUCAGUCCUCUUCCAACAGUCAAAAUUAACCUUCUCUGGUACAGACUUUUAAACUGGUCUAGCAGUGUCUUGACAGACUGAAGGAAAGGGAGAAUAAGAAGAUAAAUGAGAGAGAUCAUACCUGUUUUCAUUUCUGUGAUUUGCAUAUACUAACCCCUAUCAGAAACCCAAUCUAACUUUUCGGUUUAUUUUAAUUUUGUUCAGAAUCAAUUUCUACUAGAAAAAUAAUUGUUUUGAUGUAAAUAGAGAUGGUUAAGGUACAUUGGAGCCACAUUAUGGUGGCUGUGCAGAGAUUAAUUUCAUCUCCUCAAUGCUCCCUAAAAAGAAUUAGCCUUGAGUGAUUGGAUAGAUAUUGCCUGCAGGCUCAUGGUUCACUAAACCUGUCUUGGUGAAGCUGGAUUUGACAUUACAGCCAUGAUGAGUUGACUGACAUACAGAUGCAGUCGGAAGUUUACAUACACUUAGGUUGGAGUCAUUAAAACUGGUUUUUAACCACUCCACAAAUUUGUUGUAAACAAACUAUAGUUUUGGUAAGUCGGUUAGGAUAUCUACUUUGUGC